rnacentral:lncRNA from 1 species
CGGUAAUCGCCCCUUGAUAUUUUUGCUACAAGUCUGAGCUACAAGAAGAGUUUAAUCAUGAUGUAACUGUAAGUUUAGAUCCUAAAAAUUUUCAACAAUUGUACAGUAUUGACUGCCUGUAAAAAACAAUGGCUUUGCAAGGUUAUCGUAUUACUUAAAGGAUUUGUAACAGUGUUUCAUAUUUAGUAUAUGGAACGCCACAUUAACAUUUUUAUGGGUAAUUUUGAAGAAGAAAUAUAAUCGAAUUUUCAGUACACCCAUGCUAAAAUUUUGAUUUUUUAUGGAAAAUGCAGUUGCAAGUGUUUUAUUUAUUAGUCAUAAAAUUAAUAAUUUAAAUUCAAAUAUAAUUCAUUGUCAUGGCAUGGCCCGAUAUAGGAAGAUGUAGUAUGAGUGCCAAUGAGACAAGUUGACAACUCUCCAUCGAAAUAACAAUUUAUAAACGUAAACCAUUAUAGGUCAAUGUACAGCCUUCAACACGGAGCCUUCAACAUAUAUUUAUAACUUCUUACCAAUAAGUGUGUGACAAAUAUCAUGAUUACAUGUAUUAUAAACAUACACAAAAUACAUUUCACAAACAAAACAUAUCCCAUCAAACAUAAAAAGUGAAAAAGCAAAACAAUAUAUCUACAGUAUAUAUAUACAUGUAAUAAAUAUAAAUAUAAAUAAUUAUAUGAAUAAAUCAAGAGCAGGGAUGGGGUAAUUGAAAAUGUAAUGGUAAUUAAGUGUAAUGCAGGGUAUGAAAUUAGCAGGGGCCCACUCGCCGAUGGACCCUAAAAUUUGGUGUGGGCUACUGAAAUUUCUGCUUCCCUAGUAUACCACUAUAUAUAUCGUCUACAAAAUUACUGAAGCUGUGGACAACUGUGCUAAAAAUCUUAACUUCAAUCCCUGUAAUGCAUUUCAAUUUUCCAUGUAAUUGAAUGUAAUGUGUAAUUGAAUAUUUUUUAAUUACAUGUUAUGGUAAUUUAAUUAAUUACGUAACAAUGAAAAAAGCAUGUAAUGGUAUUAUUAUUUUUAUUUACAAACUUGUAUUAUGUUGUUUUGUAUGCGUUCUUCUUUGUUAUCACCCUUUGAAAUGCUUACGGUAAGCUAGUUCAAAUAAUUAGGACGUCUUGAAAGGCUAUUAUAUUUUUUUUCUUUGACGCCUUUAUUCAUGUUAUUUAGACAACUUGAAAGUCUAUUAAUUUUUUUUCUUUCAGUUUCACGCCUUUAUUAUGAUUUGAUAGGCUAUUCUAUUUUUUUUUCUUUGACACCUUUAUACAUCGAUGUCAUAAUGCUGAAGCAAUCAUUUUCCAUGUUUUCGGUUUGACUUUGAGAGCAUAAUUUGCCCUUAACUUUGAGACCCAAUUUAACCAUUAAAUUUUCAUUGAAGGCUAAAAGUGUUUGCAUAUAUAAAUAAAUCUUACCUUUUAUGUGUUUGUUUGUGCAAAAUAUUUCCAAUUAUUCCCUACAGUAAUAAUAAAAGAAGCUACAAUUCCAUCCGAGGCGUGAACAUGUCGAUUGAUUUUUUAAAACGUUUAUCUGAUUUCUUUUAAGGAGAUUAUAAAUUAAUUUUUGCACCAUUAAACUAAAUAUCAGGCACAAUCCUUCCCGUAAGGGGUUUAGUAUCAUACCAUCAUAACAUAUAUGAGAAGAACAUAACCCGUGGCAUGCCAACAACUGUUUGAUAAAAAUGACGCAUAUUUUCCCAAUAAAAAAGGGUAGUUUUGAAUAAAGCCAACAAUAUCACUGUAAUCAUUUUCUUUUGAUUAGACUCCAGCCCAGUUGGCUACAAAGGACAAAGAACAGACAAAAAAUAACAGAAAGAAAUAAAAUGUCGAAGAAGCAAACUACAGACAUUUGCAUGACCCUUGAUGAGACUACAGGUUUUAUGAUUGCCUCCCUUGAUGAAACAACAACUUCCGGCAAUUCAUCCCUUGAUGAGACUACAACUUCCUUGAUAUCACCCCUGAACGAGACUACAAGAGCAACAACUGACCAAUUUAAUGAAACCACAAAGUCCAUGAUAUCACCUCUUGACAAGACUACCAGUCAGUUAGUUCAAGAGGAAACGAAAGGAAUGAGCCAAAAAUUACACUGGCACGUUAAAACAAAUACCAGAGAGAAACGUUAUCAAUGUAAUUCUAAACAUAUUAAUGAAAACACUUUCAAAUGUGAAAUAUGUUAUAAAGGAUUAAAGUCGAAACGGGUUUUAGAGUCGCACAUUAGAAUACACACUGGUGAUAAACCUUUUAAAUGUGAAAUAUGUUUCAAGGAAUUUAGCGAAAAACAGGUUUUGAAGUCACACAUAAGAACACACAAUGGCGAUAAACCUUUUAAAUGUGAUGUAUGUGGUAAAACAUUUGUCGUUAAAGGAAUGUUAAAGAAACACUCUAGAAUACAUACUGGUGAAAGACCUUUUAAGUGUGAUACAUGUGGUAGAGAUUUUAGUGACCCAAGUGCCUUAAAAAGACAUAUGAAAUCGCAUACUGGAGAUAAACCUCACAAAUGUGAUGUGUGUGGUCAAAGGUUUAUUAGGAAUCAGCAUUUACAGACACAUAAGAGAACACAUACUGGAGAGAAACCUUUUAAGUGUGAGGAAUGUGGUAAGGAGUUUAGUUCUCGUCGAAGCUUAAAGUUACAUACGAACACACAUUCUGUAGAUAAACCUUAUAAAUGUGAUAUAUGUGGUAAAGGGUUAAGUCGUCGUCAAAGCUUAAAGGUACACAUGAGAACACACACUGGACACGCAGAGACUGGAAAUAAACUAUACAUGCUAUAUAAAUGUGAUGUGUGUGGUAAAGUGUUUAGUCGAUGUCAAAGCUUACAGGGACACAUGAGAAUACACACUGGACAUGCAGAGACGGGAAAUAAACCGUAUAAAUGUGAUGUAUGUGGUAAAGGGUUUAGUCAGAGUCAAAGCUUAAAGUAUCACACGAGAACACAUACUGGUGAUAAACCGUAUAAGUGUGAUGUGUGUGGUAAAGUAUUUAUUCUUCGUCAUAUCUUGAAGAUACACAUGAGAACACACACUGCUGAUAAACUUUAUAAAUGUGAUGUUUGUGGUAAAGGAUUUAGUCAUAGUGGUAACUUACAGACACACAUGAGAACACAUACUGGAGAUAAACCUUAUAAAUGUGGUGUAUGUGGUAAAGGUUUUAGUGUGAAUCAUACCUUACAAGGUCACAUGAGAACACACACUGGAGAUAAACCUUUUAAAUGUGAUGUUUGUAGUAAAGUGUAUAGUCGUCGUCAAAGCUUAAAGGAACAUAUGAGAACACAUACUGGUGAAAAACCUUAUAAAUGUGAUGUUUGUGAUAAAGUGUUUCGUUUGAAACGAAUUUUACAGAAACAUAGCGGUCAGCACUUUUCACAUGUGAAAUAUGUAAACAAGGAUUUAGCAGGAAACAGAUCUUACAGACACACAGAAUAACACACACUUGUGAUAAACCUUUUAAAUGUGAUAAAUGCGGUAAAGACUCGUAGCAACACGCACAAAUAACACUACUUAGCAAUCGAUGAACAAGACGCAUGUUAUACAAUGUUAUAUUGAGAUUAGGGACCCCCGUGCAUAUUUCAAACACGAUAUUUUAUGAACUGGAAAAAGUGACCACAGUGCAGUGCCAAUAACAAACAGAUGAGAACAUAUAAUAUACUGGAUAGAAACCAUACGAUUGUAAUGAUUGGUGUUAUGGUUCAAUUGACCACAGUGCCUUUUACAAACAAAAACUGUCCAGAAAUCCCAUAAUUGUAUUGUAUGUUCUAAUGGUUUAAGUGACCACAGUGCCAAAGUAACAACCAUGAGAUCAUCAUGACAUGAUAAUAUACCGGACAGAAACCAUAUGAUUUGAAUGUAUAUUGUAAGAGUUAAAUUGACAAGAAUGCCUAUUACACAAAUGUAUUACAAACACAUGAUAUCAUAUUAAAUGUACAGAAACC